GGAGUUGGAUUCACUCGAAGGCGUUGAGCUAACCGCAAGGAGGCAGGCGACCACAGUGGGUUUAGCGACUGGGGUGAAGUCGUAACAAGGUAGCCGUAGGGGAACCUGCGGCUGGAUCACCUCCUUUCUAAGG
rnacentral:rRNA from 2 species